UACAGAGGGUGCUAGCGUUAAUCGGAUUUACUGGGCGUAAAGCGUGUGUAGGUGGUUAAACAAGUCGGUUGUGAAAUCCCCGGGCUCAACCUGGGAAUUGCUUCCGAUACUGUUUGACUCGAAUUCGGUAGAGGGUGGCGGAACUCCAGGUGUAGCGGUGAAAUGCGUAGAUAUCUGGAAGAACAUCAAUGGCGAAGGCAGCCACCUGGGCCUGAAUUGACACUGAGACACGAAAGCGUGGGGAUCAAACAGG
rnacentral:rRNA from 1 species